GACGAACGCUGGCGGCGUGCCUAAUACAUGCAAGUCGAGCGCUCAAGGGGGGGCUUGCCUCCUCGGAUGAGUUGCGCACGGGUGAGUAACACGUAGGUAACCUGCCUCGUAGAGGGUGAGAACACUUGGAGACGAUAGCUCAUACCGCAUAAGAGAUGUUGUUGCAUAACAUUUACUUAAAAAAUGCAGUUGUAUUACUACUAAUUGGACCUGCGUCGUAUUAGUUAGUUGUUGGUGUAAUGGCUGACCAAGGGGACGAUAGAUAGUCGACCUGAGAGGGGGAUCGGCCACAAUGGGACCGAGAAACGGCCCAGACUCCUACGGGAGGCAGCAGUAGGGAAACUUCGGGAAUGGACGGAAGUCUGACCGAGCAACGGCGGGUGAGGGAAGAAGGGUUUCGGAUCGUAAAGAUUGGUUGUAAGGGAAGAACGAGUGGGAGAGUUGAAAGUGCACACUGUGACGGUAUCUAACCAGAAAGGGACGGCUAACUACGUG
rnacentral:rRNA from 1 species